rnacentral:rRNA from 1 species
CCUACGGGGGGCAGCAGUGAGGAAUAUUGGUCAAUGGACGAGAGCCUGAACCAGCCAAGUAGCGUGAAGGAUGACUGCCCUAUGGGUUGUAAACUUCUUUUAUAAAGGAAUAAAGCGAGGCACGUGUGCCUUUUUGCAUGUACUUUAUGAAUAAGGAUCGGCUAACUCCGUGCCAGCAGCCGCGGUAAUACGGAGGAUCCGAGCGUUAUCCGGAUUUAUUGGGUUUAAAGGGAGCGUAGGUGGGUUGUUAAGUCAGUUGUGAAAGUUUGCGGCUCAACCGUAAAAUUGCAAUUGAUACUGGUCGGCUUGAGUAUAGUUGAGGUAGGCGGAAUUUGUGGUGUAGCGGUGAAAUGCUUAGAUAUCACGAAGAACCCCGAUUGCGAAGGCAGCUUACUAAGCUGUUACUGACAUUGAUGCUCGAAAGUGUGGGUAGCAAACAGGAUUAGAUACCCGAGUAGUC